rnacentral:rRNA from 1 species
UACGUAGGUGACCAGCGUUGUCCGGAUUUACUGGGCGUAAAGAGCGCGCAGGCGGUCGUUCAAGUCGAGUGUGAAAGCCCCCCGGCUCAACUGGGGAGGGUCACUCGAUACUGAUCGACUUGAAGGCAGGAGAGGGAAGCGGAAUUCCCGGUGUAGUGGUGAAAUGCGUAGAGUAUCGGGAGGAACACCAGUGGCGAAGGCGGCUUCCUGGCCUGUUCUUGACGCUGAGGCGCGAAAGCCUAGGGGAGCAAACGGG